UGUAAGUCAUAUGGACCCCGCCUCACAUCGGGGGCCACCUGCCUGGGGCAGGUGGCAGAGAUUUGGAUGCAGGUGUAUCUGAGUCUGCCUGCACCCGUAGGCGAGAUGCACAGGCCAGACCUUCUCCCUCCUUGGUUGUGUCCAUCUUGAUCUGUGACAUCAAAGCAAGAGGAAGUGAAUGCUACCUCCUGUGUUGGGGAGAGCUGGAGCUGGCGGUUUGGUGGUAGGAAGUGAAAAAAUCUCAGGUGCACUCCACGGAUCACAGGGCUGAUGGAGAGGGGGGUGGGUUAGGAGGGGACCUGAACUAAGCAGUCCAGGACGCACCCCCUCAGCGGCUGGGGUGGAUGGUGGGGUCGGCCACUGACCAAGUAGGAGAGGGAAAAGAGAAGCAGAUUUCAGGGUGGGAGGGAAGAAGCUGCGUGCCAAUCCGGAUGUGCUGAGCGUGAGAUGCCCAGGAAACGUCCCCUGGGGACACUUAGAUGUGGGUCUGUAACUCAAGGGACUUGGGGUUAGUUAAGUCAGUUCUAGGUUGGGACUAAGAAGUGGGUAAGAUGUCCAAGAAGGUAUGGUAAAGACAGGACCCUCAUGAGGAGAGGAGACAGGAUAGAAGCGGGAGAGGAAGUCAGAGGAGCGUGAAAAGUCCGGGGCUAGAGGAGUUGGGGGCAGAAAGAACUCCUGCGGCCUUGUCUACAGACGGUGAGGAGGAGGGGAGCAGCCAGGAUGGGAGGUACUGGAGUCCGGCCAGGGGCCGAGCGCCUUAAAGAAGUUGUGAGAGUUGACGUGGCCACGGGCGGGACCCCGGGGUGUGGGCCUCCGCCCGGGGUACCUGUGUCCCACCGGCCGCCCCGUCGAAGCGUGACGGCGCAUGCGCAGAGCGGCCGGCAUUGUCACGUGCGGCCGUCUCGCGCGGAUUGGCCCGCGGUCUCCCGAGACUGGCCGGAGUUGUCGGUGCGGCGGCGCGCGCGGAGAGAGCCUGCGUAGGCGUGGCGGAAGGGGGACAAAGGCAGCCAGGCAGCCCGGCAGCCGAAGCCCUCGAGAAUGGAGGUUCUGGACGAGUUCGACAGCGAGUUCCCCCAGAGUGUGACCUUCUGCCAGCUCAUCUCCGAGGAGGACUUCGAGAGGCAGGUGGCGACCUACACUGAGCGCGCGCUCCGCCUCCUCUUCCGCAGCCUCGACCGCAGCCCGGCGCUGGCCGAGAAGGUGGCCAAGGUCUCGUGUGCCGUCCAGGGGGAGCUGAACUGUUGCAACAGCAUGGGCGCCCUGGAGAUGCACCAGCGCCUGGAGCAGCUCAAGAGGCGCAUCCACCGCGUGUACUUAUACUCCCAGAAUGCCAAGAAGAAGAGAAGCAAGCCAAAACCGAAAACCAGAACCCAUCCUCUUGCGGGACCGGUCGACCUUCCCGUGUCUGCCACCAACCCUGCUGCCACCGCCUGCCACCACCAUGGCCUCCAUGGUGGCCCCAUCAACCUCUGUCUACACCCUGCCCAGGGUCUUUGGCCCCUUCCCUCCGCUGCCCAGCACGUCGGUCAGUGGCCCUGGGAGGGGCAGCCUCUAACCCCCUGCUCAGAAGCACCCCAGCGAUGCCCGGUCCCACAGCAGUGGUUCCCAGAACUUUCUCUGCAGGCAGCAGUAGAUAGAUGAAAGGGGGCUGCUCUGCUCGCAGAGUCGGGCUGGGGGAGGCACAGGGCUCCGCCUGCCUGGCCUCAGUGAACUUGGCGCAAUUCCGGGAUUCCCAGGAGACGCCUGAAGCCUGCCUCUCCCCGUGUGUGUCAUUCUCCAGGCUGCCCUAUGGAGCAAUUGGAAGUUUCGAGGUCUGAAGCAAAAUUGAACUGGACCGGCCUGUCAUCGAACCCGAAGAGCCACGUAGUCGAUCUGACCCCCUUGGUCUUCAAUCCUGGAGGCUUCCACUUCUCGUACUUGGCCAGGAACAAUGCACACAAGCUCCACUGCCCUGGCUUCCCCUGGCCCUCAGCCUGUAGUGGUUCUGCCAGCACCGAGGAGAUGCUAUCCCCAUCUGUGAAGGCCUCCAUCUUCACCCCACCUGUCCUGCUCAAGUUCCAGCCUGUGCCCAGACGCAAAGAUGACUCAGAGAAUGACUCUGGCAGCACAGAGUCCACGCCCUACCAGAGGGACCCAUAACCUCUUCUGUACAGACCACGGCAGGAGAAUGAAUAAAGUUCCCCUGGUGGUGCC